rnacentral:rRNA from 1 species
AUGCCUAGCCUGAGGCAGUGCAGCACCUUAGAGAGGCAGCUGCUCGGCCACCUCUCAGCCACGAAGAUGAAGAUCGCCAAGGCCCCGGUGCUCCUGAAGAAGGCGGUGACCAUGUGCAAGAGCAAGACCGGCGUGCUCGCGGCCAGGCUCCUCUUCCUCGCCUCGCUCCGGCGCAGGAUGGCCACCGUCGGCGUGAUGUCUCACAAGAUACACGCGCUCAUGGCGGCCGCGGAUCGGGCGAAGGCCGGAGGGGACUGCCACAAGGCCGUCGUUUCGCGCAAGGUCGAGAAGACGCUUCCAGCGAUCCAUGGCGGUGAGACCGUUGAUCUUACGCAUCAAUUAGCACUGUUUUGUCAAGAGGAGGAUGUUGGUGGUGGCUUCCCUGACUGGACGCUGCACCCCAUCUUCAAUGACGAUGACAAUUGCUGUUACACGGAAGACGACGACGAAGAUGUUAGUGAUGUGCUACUCGAUGGGUGCAAUGGCCACCACGACGAGCCCUCGGUGAUAGAUGUGAUCAGGAGCAACAAGGAAGUCCAGGGGUUGGAGUUCAACAUGGAAGAUGAGAUCGACCAGGCUGCCGAUAUGUUCAUCAGGAGGUUCCGGGAGCGGAUGAGCAAGAGCAUUUAG